UACGAAGGGGGCUAGCGUUGCUCGGAAUGACUGGGCGUAAAGGGCGCGUAGGCAGUUUGUACAGUCAGGUGUGAAAUUCCCGGGCUCAACCCUGGGGGCGGCACUUUGAGACGUAGGAACUGGAGUGAGGAAGAGGGUCGUGGAAUUCCCAGUGUAGAGGUGAAAUUCGUAGAUAUUGGGAAGAACACCGGUGGCGAAGGCGGCGACCUGGUCCUUUUACUGACGCUGAGGCGCGAAAGCGUGGGGAGCAAACAGG
rnacentral:rRNA from 1 species